GGGUGAUUAGCUCAGUGGUAGAGCAUCUCGUUUACACCGAGGGGGUCGGCAGUUCGAACCUGUCAUCACCCACCA
rnacentral:tRNA from 1 species